rnacentral:lncRNA from 1 species
GGUCAACCCUGGGCAGAUCUCUAAGCCCCUGUAGUAGCUAUGGGCCUUACUAUAGUGGAGCGCCUGGGGACUGUGAGUGUAGGGGCUGAGCCAGCAUCUUCCUGACCAUCAGUGUUAAGGAUGACCCACGUCUCGAAGGUAAAUCUGUCCCCAAACCAGCCAUUUGCUGGACAUUGCAAUAUUGGUUGAGGCAGGAGAAUGCUUGCAAUCUUCAGCCAGAGAAUGUUGGGAGGAGGACUGAUGGGCAAUCAAAGACUCUUCACAAAGACUUGCUAAGGACCCAUCAUUGUAGCAUAAACAGUGAUUUUUCGGAGAUAAGAAGAGUUGCCAGCUUAAGUGGUUGGCAUGGUCAGUCAUGGGGCAAAAAAAAUCAGGGUUGUUUUGUGCAAGAAAUUAAUCUAUGGGUGUUAGGGUUUAGAUGUGAGGUGUCCCCCAAAAGCUCAUUUGUGAAACAAUGCAAGAAAGUUUAGAGAUGAAAUGAUUGGGUUGUAAGAGGUUUAACAUAAUUAAUGAAUUAAUCCCCAAUAGGGAUUAAUUGAAUGGAAACAGAAAGCAGGUUGGAUGUGGUUAAAGGAGAUAUGUCUCUGAGGAUUUUUCCUUUAGGGGAUUUAUUUUGUCCAUGGGGGGGGGGGUGUUUUCUUUCUCUCUCUGCUUCCUGAGGCUAUGUUUCCAGCUACUUUCCUCCUCUAUACCCUUCCCCAUGAUGUUCUGCCUCAUCUCAGGAAGUAUGGAGUUGGCCAUCUAUGAACUGAGAUCUCUGAAAC